AGCUUGUUGAUUUUUAAUAAUAAGUAUUUUCUGCCCGGUGUUGUUUUAAACGGCCGCGGUAUUUUGACCGUGCAAAGGUAGCAUAAUCAUUUGUCCUUUAAUUGGGGGCUGGUAUGAAGGAAAGUUUGAGGUUUUUGCUGUCUCUUUUUUUUGUUUGGAAUUUGCUGUUUUUGUGAAGAAGCAAAAGUGAUUAAAAAAGACAAGAAGACCCUAUUAAGCUUUAUUUUUUUGAGUUACUUUAUGUUUGUUUAUUAAUAUUUUGGGUGUUAAAAAAAAUUUGGUUGGGGCGGCUAAAGAAGAUUUUAAUUAUCUUCUUUUUUUUUGUUUACUAUUAGUUUAAUAAAGACCCAAGAUUUCUUGGUUUAUAGAAUUAGUUACUAUAGGGAUAACAGCGUUAUCUUUUCGGAAAGUUCUUAUUGGAGAAAAGGUUUGCGACCUCGAUGUUGACUUAUUGUUUCCUUUAAAGGUGUAGUAGCUGUUAGGGUUAGUCUGUUCGACUAUUAAAACGAU
rnacentral:rRNA from 1 species